rnacentral:pre_miRNA from 1 species
AUGGGAAUUGCUGGGUCAUGUGGUAAAUCUAUGCCUCACUUUCCGAGAAACUGCCAAAAUGUUUUCAAAAGUGGCUGAAUCACUUUGCAUUCCCACCAGCAAU